GCCCCGUUAGCUCAGCUUGCCCCGUUAGAUGGAGCGAAGCAGAGCAGAGGACUUUUAAUCCUUUGAUGAGGGUUCGAUUCCCCCACGGGGUACCA
rnacentral:tRNA from 1 species